rnacentral:rRNA from 1 species
GAUGAACGCUGGCGGCGUGCCUAAUACAUGCAAGUCGAGCGAACAGACGAGGAGCUUGCUCCUCUGACGUUAGCGGCGGACGGGUGAGUAACACGUGGAUAACCUACCUAUAAGACUGGGAUAACUUCGGGAAACCGGAGCUAAUACCGGAUAAUAUAUUGAACCGCAUGGUUCAAUAGUGAAAGACGGUUUUGCUGUCACUUAUAGAUGGAUCCGCGCCGCAUUAGCUAGUUGGUAAGGUAACGGCUUACCAAGGCAACGAUGCGUAGCCGACCUGAGAGGGUGAUCGGCCACACGGGAACUGAGACACGGUCCAGACUCCUACGGGAGGCAGCAGUAGGGAAUCUUCCGCAAUGGGCGAAAGCCUGACGGAGCAAAGCCGCGUGAGUGAUGAAGGUCUUCGGAUCGUAAAACUCUGUUAUUAGGGAAGAACAAAUGUGUAAGUAACUAUGCACGUCUUGACGGUACCUAAUCAGAAAGCCACGGCUAACUACGUG